rnacentral:rRNA from 1 species
GACAGAGGUGCCAAGCGUUAGGCGGAAUCACUGGGCUUAAAGCGUGUGUAGGCGGAUCGUUAAGUGCUUUGUGAAAUCCCACAGCUCAACUGUGGAACUGCUUGGCAUACUGGCGAUCUUGAGCCAUCUAGGGGUUGCUGGAACAAACGGUGGAGCGGUGAAAUGCGUAGAUAUCGUUUGGAACGCCAAUGGUGAAAACAGGCAACUGGGGAUGUGCUGACGCUGAGACACGAAAGCCAGGGGAGCAAACGGG